rnacentral:tRNA from 1 species
GGGCCCAUAGCUCAGUCUGGGAGAGCAGUAGCCUCUUAAGCUACCUGUCGUGGGUUCAAAUCCCACUGGGCUCG